rnacentral:rRNA from 1 species
UACGUAGGUGGCGAGCGUUGUUCGGAUUUACUGGGCGUAAAGGGCGCGUAGGCGGCGUGGUAAGUCACUUGUGAAAUCUCUGAGCUUAACUCAGAACGGUCAAGUGAUACUGCUGUGCUAGAGUGCGGAAGGGGCAAUCGGAAUUCUUGGUGUAGCGGUGAAAUGCGUAGAUAUCAAGAGGAACACCUGAGGUGAAGACGGGUUGCUGGGCCGACACUGACGCUGAUGCGCGAAAGCCAGGGGAGCAAACGGG